rnacentral:rRNA from 1 species
GGAAUAUUGCACAAUGGGCGCAAGCCUGAUGCAGCCAUGCCGCGUGUAUGAAGAAGGCCUUCGGGUUGUAAAGUACUUUCAGCGGGGAGGAAGGCGACGGGGUUAAUAACCCUGUCGAUUGACGUUACCCGCAGAAGAAGCACCGGCUAACUCCGUGCCAGCAGCCGCGGUAAUACGGAGGGUGCAAGCGUUAAUCGGAAUUACUGGGCGUAAAGCGCACGCAGGCGGUCUGUUAAGUCAGAUGUGAAAUCCCCGGGCUUAACCUGGGAACUGCAUUUGAAACUGGCAGGCUUGAGUCUUGUAGAGGGGGGUAGAAUUCCAGGUGUAGCGGUGAAAUGCGUAGAGAUCUGGAGGAAUACCGGUGGCGAAGGCGGCCCCCUGGACAAAGACUGACGCUCAGGUGCGAAAGCGUGGGGAGCAAACAGGAUUAGAUACCCCAG